CCAACGGCCCUCUUUAGGGCCACAAUCGCUUUUGAGCGCAUAGCUU
rfam:Angiostrongylus cantonensis strain Taiwan genome assembly, scaffold: ACAC_scaffold0003638